GAUUAACGCUGGCGGCGUGCAUAACACAUGCAAGUCGAACGAUGAAACUUUAAUGAACCCUUCGGGGAGAAUUAAAGCGGAUUAGUGGCGAACGGGUGAGUAACGCGUGAGUAACCUGCCUUACACAAGGGGAUAGCCUUUGGAAACGAAGAAUAAUACCCUAUAAAACCAUAAAAGUACAUGCAAUUAUGGUCAAAGUGAUAGCGGUGUAAGAUGGACUUGCGUCUGAUUAGCUAGUUGGUGAGAUAAAAGCCCACCAAGGCAACGAUCAGUAGCCGGCGUGAGAGAGUGUACGGCCACAUUGGGACUGAGACACGGCCCAGACUCCUACGGGAGGCAGCAGUGGGGAAUUUUGCACAAUGGGGGAAACCCUGAUGCAGCGACGCCGCGUGAUUUAGAAGGCCUUCGGGUUGUAAAAAUCUUUUGUAUAGGAAGAAAAUGACAGUACUAUACGAAUAAGGGCCGGCUAAUUACGUG
rnacentral:rRNA from 1 species